rnacentral:rRNA from 1 species
GAUGAACGCUAGCUACAGGCUUAACACAUGCAAGUCGAGGGGAAACGCCAUCGAAAGCUUGCUUUUGAUGGGCGUCGACCGGCGCACGGGUGAGUAACGCGUAUCCAACCUGCCCAUCACUUGGGAAUAACCUUGCGAAAGUAAGACUAAUACCCAAUGAUAUCCCACGAAGGCAUCGGAAUGGGAUUAAAGAUUUAUCGGUGAUGGAUGGGGAUGCGUCUGAUUAGCUUGUUGGCGGGGUAACGGCCCACCAAGGCAACGAUCAGUAGGGGUUCUGAGAGGAAGGUCCCCCACAUUGGAACUGAGACACGGUCCAAACUCCUACGGGAGGCAGCAGUGAGGAAGAUUGGUCAAUGGGCGAGAGCCUGAACCAGCCAAGUAGUGUGCAGGAAGACGGCCCUAUGGGUUGUAAACUGCUUUUAUAAGGGAAUAAAGUGGGUCACGUGUGACUUUUUGCAUGUACCUUAUGAAUAAGGACCGGCUAAUUCCGUG